AGCGAACGCUGGCGGCAGGCCUAACACAUGCAAGUCGAACGAACCCUUCGGAGUUAGUGGCGGACGGGUGAGUAACACGUGGGAACGUGCCUUUUGGUUCGGAAUAACUCAGGGAAACUUGUGCUAAUACCGAAUGUGCCCUUCGGGGGAAAGAUUUAUCGCCAUUAGAGCGGCCCGCGUCUGAUUAGCUAGUUGGUGAGGUGACGGCUCACCAAGGCGACGAUCAGUAGCUGGUCUGAGAGGAUGACGAGCCACACUGGGACUGAGACACGGCCCAGACUCCUACGGGAGGCAGCAGUGGGGAAUCUUGCGCAAUGGGCGAAAGCCUGACGCAGCCAUGCCGCGUGAAUGAUGAAGGUCUUAGGAUUGUAAAAUUCUUUCACUGGGGACGAUAAUGACGGUACCCGGAGAAGAAGCCCCGGCUAACUUCGUG
rnacentral:rRNA from 1 species